UCUCGCUUUUUUUGGGGAAUCACAAUUAAGGGGGGGCCCAUGCCCCCAGUGCCCCACCCUCUGCUACGGCCCUUAAGUAAUUCUCGCUUUUUUUGGGGAAUCACAAUUAAGGGGGGGGGCCAUGCCCCCAGUGCCCCACCCUCUGCUACGGCCCUUAAGUAAUUCUCUCUUUUUUGUGGAAUCACAAUUAAGGAUUGCCUGAAUGUGAAGAGCAGUGGUUGCAUUCAGUUAUAUCCGUAGCGCUACCUGACAUAUAGGGACGUCCCCAUCGCUGCAUUUGGCAAGCAUCGCCGCGUGACUAAUGGUAAUGCAAUUAAGCUCAAUAUUUCGAAAUGCUUUAGAGCGUUUAUUGUUUAUGGCUUAUGUGUGUCCAAGUGAGGGCUAAUUUCAACUUUAUGAGUGAUACUAGUUCCAUUCCUAAAUGUAUUAUUUUGUGAACACUGCUUUUAUUACUAUUUCAUUCUGUGAGCUGACAGCUACAUAUGUGCAUAAUGUAGCCCGGCCUGGUAGUGUCCAAUGUGGUUAAGGAGAUGAAUGUGUUUCGUGCCGAGAAUUAGAUGGGCCAUCCGUCAUGCCUACCACCUUGGAUUUGUUCUCGCUCAUAGCCUGUUGAGUAGAGCCGGCGGCGGAAUGUGAGGACUAUAUAAGAAGGGUGAGAUCCAUCAUUUACUCACUUGCCCGGUCUCAUUUCAAGAUCCUCCAGGUUUCUUGCAACUGGCUCUUACUUCCAGGUUCCAGGAUGAAAUUCUUCAUCGCAAUCUUAGUAGUCAUCUUAUCGACGAUCGCUCAGUUGUCGGAAUGCAGAAGCGCAUACGAGGAUUUCAUUAGAGAAGUUGAGGAAUCCCGCCCAGCCAAACGAUGCCUCGGUCACGACGAACCAUGCACCGACUCCUCGCAAUGCUGCCAUCCGUUUCAGUCUCUUUGUAGUCUAGGUGGAGAUGGACGGAGGCUAUGCUAUAUUCCUCUGAGGUAUCAAAAUGACGAAGAAUCCCGCCCAGCCAAACGAUGCCUCGGUCACGACGAACCAUGUACCGACUCCUCGCAAUGCUGCCAUCCGUUUCAGUCUCUUUGUAGUCUAGGUGGAGAUGGACGGAGGCUAUGCUAUAUUCCUCUGAGGUAUCAAAAUGACGAAGAAUCCCGCCCAGCCAAACGAUGCCUCGGUCACGACGAACCAUGCACCGACUCCUCGCAAUGCUGCCAUCCGUUUCAGUCUCUUUGUAGUCUAGGUGGAGAUGGACGGAGGCUAUGCUAUAUUCCUCUGAGGUAUCAAAAUGACGAAGAAUCCCGCCCAGCCAAACGAUGCCUCGGUCACGACGAACCAUGCACCGACUCCUCGCAAUGCUGCCAUCCGUUUCAGUCUCUUUGUAGUCUAGGUGGAGAUGGACGGAGGCUAUGCUAUAUACCAGAGAGGUACAGAAAUUAAUACCUCUAGCUUACUAAGGAGCAUACAUAUAAACAAUGCAUAAGGCUAAAAAGUUUGGUUUCUUAAUUUGUUCUGUUUUUUUAUUUUCUGUGUGUGUUAAAAUGAUCCAUCAAGUUGUAAAUGCUAACUCAGGUUGUAAUGCCAAUUCAAGUUUUUGUAAUAAAUUUGUUAAGGCAUUGA